GCUCAGGUUGCCUUUCCCUCCUCUCUGCAGCCCAGGGAGGGGGUUCCUGGGAGAUUCCUCAUUUUCUGGCAUGAAACAGCUCCCCAGAUUUCCUCGGUCACCCCAGGAGCAGCAGGAGGAAGAGGAAUUUGUGCUGUUCCACCUGGAAAACCAGGAUUCCUUCAGGAAACUCCUUCAGGAGUGAGGGAUCUGCAGAGCUCUCAGCCCCCAGGGCCUCAAGGCAGGAUUAUUGACUCCACACUGUGAGAAUUCCCCUCCUGAACACCUGUGCCAGGUGUCCAGGGGCAGAUGAGGGGCUGGGACUGGAGCAGGAGCCUGGAUUAACACUGAGGCCAUCCUAGACGGCUCUGAUCCCCACUGGAGCGUGGAUCCAGCAGGGAAGCACGGAGCCACCGCUCAGGGCCAGCCGGCAGCUCCUAAUCCCCGAAUUUUGGCCUUUUCCAGCCCCUUCCCAGCAGAAUGCAGCCUUCCCCUCCGGCCGCCUGAUGAUGAGCCAAGAAAUUCACUUUUCAUGGGAGGUGCAAGUGAGAGCCGGCAGUAGCUGAGCACGGAGGGUGCCAAGGUCUGGAGGAUGCGGCAGAGCCCUGGUGGCCCUCGGGACCCACCCACAGCCCGGCC